CUCCACCAUUGUGACCUACUGAAGAAUCCAAAGCACAAGUGAUGUUAAUGUGGUUUAGCCUGUUAUUGCUGGAGUAGUUAUCUGGGGCAACCGACAGACUUCCAAGGACUCAGUUUCCACUCACUGUGAUUCGAGUUGAGUUUCCGACGUGCCCCGUGGUGCGACAGGCAUCCUGGGACACAUAUUAUGUUGAAAAGCUACAGAUUUCAGUCCUGCGAUGCACCACAGAUGUGACGAGAAAUGUGGACGUAUUUGAAGUAGAAUCCAGUGGCCUCCUUUUGAUGCAGUUGCCAUGGUUGUUGAUUUCAUUGAGGAAAUAAAAGGAACCAGGAUGUAUGGUUUAACAAGGAAGAAGAUAAGCAAAAAUAAGAAGUCUUAAUUCCCACAAAAAGCUUUUAACAUCACACUGUAUCAGGAUUAAGAAAAUAGCCAGAAUGCCAGUAGAUGAUCCUGGCCACAUGACCUGAACAAGCCAUUUUAUCUCAUUUGCCUCAACUUCUUCAUCUGCCAGAUGGGACUAAUAUUUGGCAACUUCCCAAUGGGGUUGCUGUGAGGCCUAAAGAAGUUAAUAUGCGAAAAGUGCCUAGAACAUUACCUAGCACAUGGUAAGUGCUCAAUAUAUGAUAGAUACUUUUGUUAUUAUUAUUUUAGAUGGAAGAGAUACUUAGAUCAAUGGCAGAGCUCAUUAAAUUAUACAAAGUCUAAUGUGGAUAAGCCUAUGUUUUAAAAAAGAUUUUCACUCUUAAUUGAAUGUUCCUAAGCAAAG
rnacentral:lncRNA from 1 species